UUUCCAGAGGAGCCAGAGUCAAGAGGAGCCCUAGGGACGAUCCAGAGCAGCUGACUUGACUCCCGGCUGCAGCAUCUGCUCCAUGUUCCCAUGGCAUCUGGAUCUACCAAAAUGGACCCCAUCUGUUUGGUGGAAAACCGGAAAAAUCAACUGUCAGUAAAUGCUAAAGCACUGAAGAUUCUUGAGCAAAUAUCUCAGCGUCUGGUGGUGGUGGCCGUUGUAGGACUGUAUCGGACAGGAAAGUCCUACCUGAUGAACCGCCUGGCAGGACAGAACCAUGGUUUCCGUCUGGGCUCCACAGUGCGGUCGGAAACCAAAGGCAUCUGGAUGUGGUGUGUGCCCCAUCCCUCCAAGGAGAACCACACCCUAGUCCUUCUGGACACUGAGGGCCUGGGCAAUGUGGAGAAGGAGGACUCCAAGAAUGACUUGUGGAUCUUUGCCCUGGCUGUGCUCCUGAGCAGCACCUUUAUCUACAACAGCAUGAACAGCAUCAACCAUCAGGCCUUGCAGCAGCUGCACUAUGUGACUGAAUUAACAGAGCUGAUCAGAACCAAAUCAUCUCCCAGCUCUGAUGAAGUAGAGGAUUCAGCCCAAUUUGUGAGUUUCUUUCCAGACUUUAUUUGGACUGUGCGGGAUUUCACGCUGGAGCUGGAGUUAGACGGGAACUCCAUCACUGAAGAUGAGUACCUGGAGAAUGCCUUGAAGUUGAGUCCAGAUGAAGGUCCCCAAAUUCAAAAUUUCAACUUGCCCAGAGAGUGUAUCAGGAAGUUUUUUCCCAAACGGAAGUGUUUUGUCUUUGACCGUCCUGCAAGCAACAAAAAACAAUUACUCCAUCUUGAGGAAAUGCCAGAUAAUCAACUGGAUGAGAAUUUCCAGAAGCAAUCAAAAGAUUUCUGUUCAUAUAUCUAUACCCAUGCAAAGACCAAGACCUUAAAAGAAGGAAUCACUGUCACCGGGAAAAGGCUUGGGCCUCUGGUGGAGGCCUAUGUAAAUGCCAUCAACAGUGGAUCAGUUCCUUGUUUGGAGAACGCAGUAACAACUCUGGCCCAGCUGGAGAACUCAGCAGCCAUGCAGAAGGCAGCUGACCACUACAGUGAGCAGAUGGCCCAGCGACUGAGCCUCCCCACAGACACGCUCCAGGAGCUGCUGGAGGUGCACGCAGCCUGUGAGAGGGAAGCCAUAGCAGUCUUCAUGGAGCGCUCUUUCAAGGAUGAAAAUCAGGAUUUCCAGACGAAGCUUGCGAUCAUGAUCAUGAAAGAGAAAGACGAUUUCUUGUUGCAAAAUGAAGAAGCAUCUGUCAGAUAUUGUCAGGCUGAGCUCAGAAAGCUUUCAGAGCCCUUAGCGACGAGUAUUUCAGAGGGAACUUUCUUUGUCCCUGGAGGACACAGUCUCUAUUUAGAAGCAAGGAACAAGCUUGAACAAGACUAUAAACUGGUCCCCAGGAAAGGAGUUAAGGCCAACCAGGUUCUCCAGAGCUACCUGCAGUCACAGGCAGGAGUAGAGGAAGCCAUCCUGCAGGCAGACCAGGCCCUCACUGCUGGGGACAAGGCCAUGGCAGCUGAGUGUGCCAAGAAGGAUGCAGCUGAGAGGGAACAGGAGCUGCUAAGAGAGAAACAAAAUGAAGAAGAACAAAAAAUGGAGGCACAAGAGAGAAGCUUCAAAGAAAACCUGGCCCAACUGCAAGAGAAGAUGGAAAGGGAAAGAGAAAACCUUCUGAGAGAGCAGGAAACGAUGCUGGAGCACAAGCUGAAGAUGCAAAAAGAGUUACUCACAGAUGGAUUCAAAAAGGAAGCUGAGGCGUUAGAUAAAGAGAUAGAUCAACUAAAAGAAGGUAUUCGAACAACUAAAAAGUCCUUCAAUAUUUCAGAUGUCCUUGAUAUGGCGAGCUUGGCAUUAGUUGCAGUACUCCCUGGGCCUUAUAAAGUAGUUGGUAUGGGACUGAAAUUUCUCGGUGAUCGUAUGAAAGGGGCUGAGAAACCCUCCUAAGUAUAUUUUGAAAGGCUUCUGAUGUUUUAGUAGUGUAACACUACAGUUCAUUUUUAAAAUAUAUAUGUCAUGAUAGUUUUGUUGAAGAGGAGCUUAAAAACUGAUUACCAAAGAAUUACUAAAGUUAUUACAAAAGUGAUUGCCAGUGCUUGAUAUGCA
rnacentral:lncRNA from 1 species